rfam:Oryza meridionalis cultivar OR44 (W2112) chromosome 1, whole genome shotgun sequence.
UUUAAGUACAGCCAUAAGUUUUUAUGCCCAAUUUUAAUCGUUCGUCUUAUUUGAAUUUUUUUAAUUAGUAUUUUUAUUGUUAUAUGAUGAUAAAAUAUGAAUAGUGCUUUAUGCGUGACUUAUGUUUUAUUUUUUUUUCAAAAAAUUUAAAUAACACGGACGAUCAAAGUUGGGCACGAAAAACUCAUGGAUGUACUUAAA